rnacentral:rRNA from 1 species
ACGGGUGAGUAACACGUAUGCAACCUACCUUUAACAGGGGAAUAACCCGUUGAAAAACGGACUAAUACUCCAUAACACAGGGGUCCCGCAUGGGAAUAUUUGUUAAAGAUUAAUCGGUUGAAGAUGGGCAUGCGUUCCAUUAGCUUGUUGGUGAGGUAACGGCUCACCAAGGCCACGAUGGAUAGGGGAACUGAGAGGUUUAUCCCCCACACUGGAACUGAGACACGGUCCAGACUCCUACGGGAGGCAGCAGUGAGGAAUAUUGGUCAAUGGAGGCAACUCUGAACCAGCCAAGUCGCGUGAAAGGAUGAAGGUCUUAUGGAUUGUAAACUUCUUUUGCAAGGGAAUAAAGUGGGGGACGUGUCCUCCUUUGCAUGUACCUUGCGAAUAAGGAUCGGCUAACUCCGUGCCAGCCGCAGC